rnacentral:rRNA from 1 species
CGAACGAUGAACCACUUCGGUGGGGAUUAGUGGCGAACGGGUGAGUAACACGUGGGCAAUCUGCCCUGCACUCUGGGACAAGCCCUGGAAACGGGGUCUAAUACCGGAUACGAGCUCCCAUCGCAUGGUGGGGGUUGGAAAGCUCCGGCGGUGCAGGAUGAGCCCGCGGCCUAUCAGCUUGUUGGUGAGGUAACGGCUCACCAAGGCGACGACGGGUAGCCGGCCUGAGAGGGCGACCGGCCACACUGGGACUGAGACACGGCCCAGACUCCUACGGGAGGCAGCAGUGGGGAAUAUUGCACAAUGGGCGAAAGCCUGAUGCAGCGACGCCGCGUGAGGGAUGACGGCCUUCGGGUUGUAAACCUCUUUCAGCAGGGAAGAAGCGAAAGUGACGGUACCUGCAGAAGAAGCGCCGGCUAACUACGUGCCAGCAGCCGCGGUAAUACGUAGGGCGCAAGCGUUGUCCGGAAUUAUUGGGCGUAAAGAGCUCGUAGGCGGCUUGUCGCGUCGGAUGUGAAAGCCCGGGGCUUAACCCCGGGUCUGCAUUCGAUACGGGCAGGCUAGAGUUCGGUAGGGGAGAUCGGAAUUCCUGGUGUAGCGGUGAAAUGCGCAGAUAUCAGGAGGAACACCGGUGGCGAAGGCGGAUCUCUGGGCCGAUACUGACGCUGAGGAGCGAAAGCGUGGGGAGCGAACAGGAUUAGAUACCCUGGUAGUCCACGCCGUAAACGGUGGGCACUAGGUGUGGGCAACAUUCCACGUUGUCCGUGCCGCAGCUAACGCAUUAAGUGCCCCGCCUGGGGAGUACGGCC